UACGUAGGUGGCGAGCGUUGUCCGGAUUUACUGGGCGUAAAGAGCGCGCAGGUGGUUGAUUAAGUCUGAUGUGAAAGCCCACGGCUUAACCGUGGAGGGUCAUUGGAAACUGGUCGACUUGAGUGCAGAAGAGGGAAGUGGAAUUCCAUGUGUACGGUGAAAUGCGUAGAGAUAUGGAGGAACACCAGUGGCGAAGGCGGCUUCCUGGUCUGUAACUGACGCUGAGGCUCGAAAGCGUGGGGAGCAAACAGGAUUAGAUA
rnacentral:rRNA from 1 species